CAUUAGAGACAAAUGGUGGAUGCAAAUGAACUAUAAGAGAGGUGGCAAAACAGAGCCUAUUAAAACCAAAAAUACAAACAUCUCAUUUUCUCUCAUCCAAUUUUAUGUCUCUCAAGCUCAUAUAUUUCUCUCUCUCAAAUGAAACAGCCACCCAAAUAUUCCCAUUAGGGUUCUAAGUGUUUUUCAUCUUGUUUCCUCCAAAGCAGCCACAAGAUCACCUUCUCUCCUCCAUGGAUUUGAGUAUAUUAGAUAGUUCUUCAAAGAGAGAGAAGUAGAGAGGGAUAAAGGUGUUGGCAGGCAAGGUACAAGUACUCAAGCUAAUAGAACCUCUCCAAUAUAAGCAAAUGAUACUCAAUGGCCUUUGGUGAGCUCCAUGUUGAUUUGGGGCUUUGUUGAGUCUCUAACAUAUUUGAUAUUAUAUUAUAGUUAAGGGUAUGACGGGGGUCCUGUCCCGAUCUAAGCUAAGUGUCUAUAUUUUAGAGGCUUUGUAAACUAAUUUCAAAGUAAAGCACAAUUAUGUCUUGUUUUUCAGUAAUUAAGGCCUCAACGGCCAAGCAUGUACAUUUGUUUUUGCCUAUCUAUGUUGGUCUUUUAUUAGGGUA